ACGAACGCUGGCGGCGUGCUUAACACAUGCCAGUCGAACGGAGAGGCCCUGCUUUUGUGGGGUGCUCGAGUGGCGAACGGGUGAGUAACACGUGAGUAACCUGCCCUUGACUUUGGGAUAACUUCAGGAAACUGGGGCUAAUACCGGAUAGGAGCUCCUGCUGCAUGGUGGGGGUUGGAAAGUUUCGGCGGUUGGGGAUGGACUCGCGGCUUAUCAGCUUGUUGGUGGGGUAGUGGCUUACCAAGGCUUUGACGGGUAGCCGGCCUGAGAGGGUGACCGGCCACAUUGGGACUGAGAUACGGCCCAGACUCCUACGGGAGGCAGCAGUGGGGAAUAUUGCACAAUGGGCGGAAGCCUGAUGCAGCAACGCCGCGUGCGGGAUGACGGCCUUCGGGUUGUAAACCGCUUUCGCCUGUGACGAAGCGUGAGUGACGGUAAUGGGUAAAGAAGCACCGGCUAACUACGUG
rnacentral:rRNA from 1 species